UACAGAGGGUGCGAGCGUUGUCCGGAAUUACUGGGCGUAAAGGGCGCGUAGGCGGCCUGAUAAGUAGGGGGUGAAAUUCCGUGGCUCAACCACGGAACUGCCUUCUAGACUGCCAGGCUUGAGCACGGUAGAGGCAGAUGGAAUUCCCGGUGUAGCGGUGGAAUGCGUAGAGAUCGGGAAGAACACCAGUGGCGAAGGCGGUCUGCUGGGCCGUUGCUGACGCUGAUGCGCGACAGCGUGGGGAGCAAACAGG
rnacentral:rRNA from 1 species